GAAAAUUGAAUUUGUUGAUAGUAAAGUUUUAAAAUUGGGAAGUUAUAUUGAAAUGUGUCUGGUGCAACCAGUGGAGUUUAAAUUAUUUUUGACCAAAAUGGAUUCUGAAGAAAUGGUAUGGAUAGAAAACAAAGAAUGCCUAAGGCAAUAGCUAAUUGAGACUAUGCAUCACUAUUAAGGCAUCUUCACUAAAGGGCGCUGUGGAAACGCUGCCUGAGAUGCAGACACCUGUCAGAAGGGGGCUAAAUUUCAAACAAGGAACGUGGUGUUGCAUCACAAUAAAUAGAUACGGGGUUUCACCGUGUUAGCCAGGAUGGUCUCGAUCUCCUGACUUCAUGAUUCACAUGCCUCGGCCUCCCAAAGUGCUGGGAUUACAGAACAGAAGAAACACACGUGUUCUUGUGUGUAAACCCAGUCCAUGGAAGAGACCGUCUGCUUGUCCCUCCUGAUCUCUGGGCCCAGACAACCAGUAGUCACCAUUCCAAGUGAGGGGUGGCUGCAACUCUACAGCCCCGUUCGUCUCUCCUCACUGUCAAAGCUGCUGAGACCCCAGACUCGACACUUGAAAGAAACCCAUGUCUGUGAAGCACUUGUGGACCAUUCAAGAUUGUGGAAGAAUCACUCAAGAGAAGGAGAUAGGUGAUGGGAUCUAGCUUCUGAUGGUUUCUAUUUUAUUGAAUGUCUAAUAGGGCAAGAAUUUGAAAAACGAGAAUGUUUGCCAUGCAGGAGGACCUGGGAAGGAGAUAACACAUUUACAGGGAGAAAGAUUGGGAUUCAGUUGGGAGGAGUAACUGAGGAAAGGGGUCACUCAAAAUAUUUUGUAUUUUAGGUCCUUUUUCUAUUAAGGAGGAAUGGAUUAUCAAAGCCUUAACAUUAAAUUGUAUUGUGUCAGGUGAAUUGCUAUGGUUUGAAUGUGGUGUGUCCCCCUCCCAAACUCACAUUGAAUUUUUUUUUUUUUUUUUGAGACGGAGUCUCGCUCUGUUGCCCAGGCUGGAGUGCAGUGGUGCGAUCUUGGCUCACUACAAGCUCUGCCUCCCGGGUUCAAGAGAUUCUCCUGCCUCAGCCUCCCGAGUAGCUGGGAUUACAGAUGUUCGUCACCACACCUGGCUAAUUUUUGUAUUUUUAAUAGAGAUGGGGUUUCACUAUGUUGGCUAGGCUGGUCUCAAACUCCCGACAUCAGGUGAUCCACCCACCUCGGCCUCCCAAAGUGCUGGGAUUAGAGGAGUGAGCCACUGCACCCAGCCUCACGUUGAGGUUUAAUUGCCAUUGUAACAGUAUAAAGAUGUGGGACCUUUACGAGGUGAUUAGGCAAUGAGGACUCUGCCCUCAUGAAUGGAUUAAUGCUGUUAUCAUGGGAGUGGAUUCCUUAUAAAGGGACACGUUCAGCACCCCCUUGCUCUCUCUCUCACCUUCCGCCAUAUGAUGAUGGGGCACAAAGGCCAUCAUCAGAUGUUGGCCCCUUGUUCUCGAACUUCCCAACCUCCAGAGCAGUAAAAAAAUAAAUCACUGUUCUUUAC
rnacentral:lncRNA from 10 species